ACGCGAAGAACCUUACCAAGCCUUGACAUCCCGACGCAAGGCCCUUAACCGGGCCCCUUCUUCGGAACGUCGGAGACAGGUGGUGCAUGGUUGUCGUCAGCUCGUGUCGUGAGAUGUUGGGUCAAGUCCCGCAACGAGCGCAACCCUUGCUUCAUGUAGCCAGCAGUUGGGCUGGGCACUCAUGAAGGACAGCCGGGGACAACCCGGAGGAAGGUGGGGAUGACGUCAAAUCAUCAUGCCCCUUAUGGCUUGGGCUACACACGUGCUACAAUGGCGCACACAAAGGGAAGCGAGCCCGCGAGGGUAAGCGAAUCUCAGAAAAGGCGUCCCAGUUCGGACUGCAGGCUGCAACCCGCCUGCACGAAGCUGGAAUCGCUAGUAAUCGCGGAUCAGCAUGCCGCGGUGAAUACGUUCCCGGGUCUUGUGCACACCGCCCGUCACACCAUGGGAGCCGGUAACACCCGAAGCCUGUGACCUAACCGCAAGGGAGGAGCAGUCGAAGGUGGGACCGAUGACUGGGGUG
rnacentral:rRNA from 1 species